rnacentral:rRNA from 1 species
ACUCCGUGCCAGCACCGCGGUAAUACGGAGGGUGCAAGCGUUAAUCGGAAUAACUGGGCGUAAAGCGCACGCAGGCGGUUGGAUAAGCGAGAUGUGAAAGCCCCGGGCUCAACCUGGGAACUGCAUUUCGAACUGUCCGACUAGAGUCUUGUAGAGGGGGGUAGAAUUCCAGGUGUAGCGGUGAAAUGCGUAGAGAUCUGGAGGAAUACCGGUGGCGAAGGCGGCCCCCUGGACAAAGACUGACGCUCAGGUGCGAAAGCGUGGGGAGCAAACAGGAUUAGAUACCCUGGUAGUCCACGCUGUAAACGAUGUCGAUUUGGAGUUUGUGCCAUUAUGAGCGUCUAGGUUCCGAAGCUAACGCGAUAAAUCGACCGCCUGGGGAGUACGGCCGCAAGGUUAAAACUCAAAUGAAUUGACGGGGGCCCGCACAAGCGGUGGAGCAUGUGGUUAAUUCGAUGCAACGCGAACGGAGGAAGGUGGGGAUGACGUCAGUCAUCAUGGCCCUUACGGCCAGGCUACACACGUGCUACAAUGGCGUAUACAGAGGGAAGCGACCUCGCGAGAGCAAGCGGAACCCAAAAAGUACGUCGUAGUCCGGAUCGGAGUCUGCAACUCGACUCCGUGAAGUCGGAAUCGCUAGUAAUCGCAAAUCAGAAUGUUGCGGUGAAUACGUUCCCGGGCCUUGUACACACCGCCCGUCACACCAUGGGAGUGGGUUGCACCAGAAGUAGUUAGUCUAACCUUCGGGAGGACGAUUACCACGGUGUGAUUCAUGACUGGGGUGAAGUCGUAACAAG